rnacentral:rRNA from 1 species
UACGUAGGGGGCAAGCGUUGUCCGGAAUCAUUGGGCGUAAAGCGCGUGUAGGCGGCCGGUAAGUCCGCUGUGAAAGUCGGGGGCUCAACCCUCGAAUGCCGCUGGAAACUGUCGGGCUAGAGUCCGGAAGAGGCGAGUGGAAUUCCCGGUGUAGCGGUGAAAUGCGCAGAUAUCGGGAGGAACACCAAUGGCGAAGGCAGCUCGCUGGGACGGUA